rnacentral:rRNA from 1 species
GGAGUUUGGGCCGUGUCUCAGUCCCAAUGUGGCCGUCCGCCCUCUCAGGCCGGCUACUGAUCGUCGCCUUGGUGGGCCGUUACCCCGCCAACAAGCUAAUCAGACGCAUCCCCAUCCCUCAGCGAUAAAUCUUUAUUCCUAAUCUGAUGCCUUCAAAGGAAACCAUAAGGUAUUAAUCCAUCUUUCGAUGGGCUAUCCCUUACUCAGGGGCAGGUUGGAUACGCGUUACUCACCCAUUCGCCGGUCGACGCCUAAAGAAAGCAAGCUUUCAAUAUCGUUUCCCCUCGACUUGCAUGUGUUAAGCCUGUAGCUAGCGUUCAUC